GACAGAGGGGGCAAGCGUUGCUCGGAAUCACUGGGCGUAGAGGGCGCGUAGGCGGGAUGGCAAGUCAGUCGUGAAAUCUCUCGGCUCAACCGAGAAACGUCGGCUGAUACUGCCGUUCUUGAGGGAUGCAGAGGAGACUGGAAUUCCCGGUGUAGCGGUGAAAUGUGUAGAGAUCGGGAGGAACACCGGUGGCGAAGGCGGGUCUCUGGGCAUCUCCUGACGCUGAGGCGCGAAAGCGUGGGGAGCAAACGGG
rnacentral:rRNA from 1 species